rnacentral:lncRNA from 1 species
CACCUUGCAUAAAUUAGUCAACAUAUUGGUCAAGAUCGAGGGGAUCUUGAAAAGUUUAAAGGGCUCUAUUUUUGCUAUGGAGCAGACUUCCUCUAAGAAAAAGUCUACUUGAAAGAAGAAGAACAAGCCUGUGAAGAAGUAGAAGAAGGAGAGUAGGCUGAAGAAGGACAAUCCGAAGAAGGCCACAAAUAAGGAAAAGUAUUUUCAUUGUAAUAUAGAAGGCC